rnacentral:misc_RNA from 1 species
GUGCACCAUGGUUGUCAAGCCAGCUGAGCAAACCCCUCUUUCAGCUCUAUUUUAUGCUUAUCUUGCUAAGCUGGUAAGCUUGAAUGAUGUUUAAUUUUGACUGAGUAGAUCCCAGUUGGUUCAAAUGUGCCUUUCUCAACUUCCUUUGAAGCUCAAUUGAUAACAUCUUUCAUGCCCUUGUAAAUUCCUUAUUAGUUUUGUAUUUCGAAAAUCCUAAUUACUAGGCUGGUAUUCCUGAUGGAGUAAUCAAUGUUGUAACUGGGUAUGGACCAACAGCUGGUGCGGCCAUUGCCUCUCACAUGGACAUUGAUAAAGUGAGGCCUAAUUUUCGCCAAAAGAAAUAAGAUCAUCCCAUUUGCCAAUUUACAUGUCUAAAUGUGGUAUUUUUUAUGCUUCAGGUAAGUUUUACAGGGUCUACUGAAGUUGGGCGUUUAGUAAUGCAGGCUGCAGCAACAAGCAAUUUGAAACAGGUUUCACUUGAAUUAGGAGGCAAGUCACCACUCCUAAUUUUUGAUGAUGCUGAUAUAAGUACAGCUGCUGAUCUCGCUCUCCUUGGUAUCCUGUAUAACAAGGUAAAAUGAUGUUUCUUUCUUUGAUAUUACCAGACAUUCAUUCAAUGUAGCCAAUGAUAUUUUCUUCCAUUCUUCAGGGGGAAGUUUGUGUUGCAAGUUCACGUGUUUAUGUUCAGGAAGGAAUUUAUGACAAAUUAGUUCAGAAAUUGGUCGAGAAGGCAAAAGCUUGGGUUGUUGGGGAUCCUUUUGAUCCUAAUGUUCGACAGGGACCCCAGGUAAGAACUGAGAAGUUCACCAAGCAACUGAAUCUGGUUAAGACUUGAAUUUGACUGAAAGCUGGCUAGCACCAAAAAAACUUAGUAAAGAAAAACUUCUUCUACCUUUUCAAAUACCUGCAAGGAAUUAUUCAUUCCCAAAGCUUAUAAAUUCGUGGC